GUGUGGGUCACAGAGAUCACGUACUUCACAAGGUAAUAGAAUAUCACAAGGCAAAUGGAAGCAGGGCGAGAUCACAAGACCACAGGACUGGGGCGAAAUUAAAAUUGCUAAUGAAGUUUCGGGCACCAUUGUCAUUGAUAACAUCUUAUCAGGAGACAGGGUUUUGAGAGCAACCGGUCUGACCAAAAUUUAUUAGGCGGGAAUUUCCUCUUCCUAAUAAGCCUGGGAGUGCUAUGGGAGACUGGGGUUUAUUUCAUCCCUACAGUUUCAACCAUAGAAGACGGCCACACCCAAGGGGGCCAUUUCAGAGACCCACCCUCAGGCGUGUAUUCUCUUUCACAGGGAUGUUCCUUGCUGAGAAAAAUAAUUCAGUGAUAUUUCUCCCAUUUGCUUUUGAAAGAAGAGAAAUAUGGCUCUGUUCCACCCAGCUCACCGGAGGUCAGAGUUUAAGGUUAUCUCUCUUGUUUCCUAAACAUUGCUGUUAUCCUGUUCUUUUUUCAAGAUGCCCAGAUUUCACAUUGUUUAAACACACAUGCUCUACAAUUUGUGCAGUUAACGCAAUUAUCACAGGGUGCUGAGGCAACAUACAUCCUCCUCAGCUUAUGAGAUGACAGGAUUAAGAGAUUAAAGUAAAGACAGGCAUAGGAAAUCACAAGGGUAUUGAUUGGGGAAGUGAUAAGUGUCCAUGAAAUCUUCAUAAUUUAUGUUUAGAGAUUGCAGUAAAGACAGGCAUAAGAAAUUAUAAAAGUAUUAAUUUGGGGAACUAAUAAAUGUCCAUGAAAUCUUCACAAUCCACGUUCUUCUGUCAUGGCUUCAGCCGGUCCCUCCGUUUGGGGUCCCUGACUUCCUGCAACAGAAGAUUAUAUGGUUUGGAUCUGUGUCCCCACCCAAAUCUCAUGGUCAGUUGUACUCUGCAAUGUUGGAGGUGGGGCCUGGUGGGAGGUGACUGGAUCAUGGAGGUGGGUUUCUGAUGAAUGUUUAGCACCACCCUCUUGCAGUGAGUUAUCAUGAGAUGUGGUCAUUUUAAAAGGUGUGUAGCACCUCCCCCUUUGCCCUCUUGCUCCUGCUCCCACCAUGUGAGAUGCUUGCUCCCCCUUCACCUCUGCCAUGAUUGUAAGCUUCCUGAGGCCUCCCCAGAAGCAGAUGCCAGCAUUAUGCUUCCUGUACAGCCUGCAGAACCACAGCCGAUUAAAGCUCUUUUCUUAUAAAUUA
rnacentral:sRNA from 1 species